UCCCGGUCGUUUGACCCAGCCGGACGAGCCAGUCAGCCUCCACCAAGCGAGUUGGGCGUGUGCCGAACCGAAUUGAUCCUACCAGUCCCCAACUAAUGCGGAGGCGUCGUGCGGCCGACGGCCGGCGGCGGGCGGCGAGCGGCUGCAGCUGCUGAUUCCGGCGGGCAUCGGCUAUCCUCGGCGGCGUCGAGUCGGCUUCAGUUCCUGGACCACGCGGGCGUAAGGGGCAUGGCCUCCUAUCCUCCCUGGCGAUUGGAGGAACGACCACCAGCGCCGCUGGCCGGAGCCCCCCCGCUGCCGUCUGCGGCUGUUCCCGCGCGCUGCCGUAUUGCCGUGGUGGACUUCGCCGCGUGGGGAGCUUGUGUUGCAUUGCUUUCGGGCAGCGCGGCGUGCGGUGGCUGACAGCGGCGUUGCGCUUGCAUCGGCGUCGUGGAGAGCGGGGGCUGUCCCGGCACUGCCACGGGCGUAGCACCCAGGUGCGUUUCGAUCUCAAUGUAUGCUGUGGCACUUGAUACCCUGGGAGCAGAAUAAGUAAUUCUGCACCCUGGUCAUAUACAGAGCCACGUACCCACCCGGUUCCGUUCCAUCGAGCCUUUUUUGUUGGGCUGGGUCGUAAAUUUUUUUUUACCCCGACAGUUUAGCUUCUCGGUCACCUGAUCCCACUACCCACAUCGCCCGUCACCUGAUCCCCCCUCCCCCCCCCCCCCCUCCCCAUCUCGGAGCGCACGCGGCGGCGGGCGGUUGAGCGGCGGCCGGCGAGCGCAUGCGUCGUGAUCGGCCGGCCCAAUCGGUGGCGGCGUGCUCGUUGGCGGCAAUGGAGACAUGGUGCGUGGCGUGUUGCAGGCGGGCGGCAUCUGCAUCCACGUCGCAUCUUCUUGUCGUGCAUAUUGAUCGCUUUCUCAGAAAGGGCAGGUCGCCAAGGUCUGCAACCAUGCGAGCAACAGCUUUCGCCGGACACCUUUGAUGCGUCCUUGCUUCCUUGGUGAUUUUGGUGGUAUGCAACCCGUGAUUAGCGCUGCCUAUUUCUUUAUAGUACCCAUGUACUCUUCAGUACCACCCCAUUUCUACCAUUUGAUGAGCAAGGGAUGGUCUUUUCUUUCCCGUUGUUCAUUGUUUUUUGUUCGCAAUCGUUCACUUUUACUCGCAAUUUUCUUGUUGUCAAAAAAUGAAGCUUGACAUCAGUAUUUCUGCAUAGUUUCUUAGUUGUUGGCUGCAAUAGUAUCUCCAAUCUAGUGCUAGUCGGCAUGCUAGGUUAUAUGCGGAAGUACCAAAUCAAAAUAUAAAUUGGUAUUAAUGCAUACUGGUUAUGAAUUAUGAAUUCAAAUAUUUCUACAAACUAGAAUUUUUAUUUAGGAUAAUCCUUCUACAUGAGACUUUUAUUUAGGGCUAUUUUUUCAUUACAUAGUGAUGAGGGUUACAGGCAAGACCCCUGUGGUGGCCGGAGAGCGGCUGAAGCUGGUGUUUAUGGCGGCGGCGAGCAGUAUCUGGGGAUCAUGGCGGGCGCGAGCAGCUACAGCUGUGGAUCUAGGCGGUUUGAGGCGUGGUGAGCAACGGGCGGCCUCGGUGCCUACGCAAGCGGCCGGUUGCCUCAGCGGCGCUGUCAUGGACUCUGCGGCUUGAUGACCUCGUGUGCCAUCCCUGUCGGGCAACAUGGCAUCUCGUUGCUGCGGGCGGCAUCGUGGUGAGAGGGGGCAACCCCAGCACUGCCGCAGGCGUAGCACGCAGGUAGGCUUCAACCUCUAGAGGCGGAUCCACCGAGCACCUCUGGACUCCACCUGCUUGCAGAACAUAACUUUUUGGACCUGGCUCCAACAACGAUCGAGGAACGGUGGCAUUAUAAUAUCUUAGCGCUGUUGGGAAUGUAUAUCUCUGGUCCGGAUCGUUCCUUGUCGGAUAUCUUGUUGCCUUAUUGGCAUGGAAGAAAUAGGGAUAUAUUUACCAUUGUAUUUGACACACUGCCUGUUGCAAGUCUUCUCCUCCGCUGAGCAUCAAAUGAAACUGAUAUAAAGUCGGCACUGAUGAUAUUGUGUAUUUUGUUAGUCAUCCUUUUAUGCGUAAUGCAUGAACUAUAAUUAUCUCUGAUUUGAAUUAUGUAUACACUAGGCUUCACGUGUCAUUAUUUUGUAUACACAAAUAUUAUGUGUAUUCCUUCUU